GAUGAACGCUGGCGGCGUGCCUAAUACAUGCAAGUCGAGCGAACAGACGAGGAGCUUGCUCCUCUGACGUUAGCGGCGGACGGGUGAGUAACACGUGGAUAACCUACCUAUAAGACUGGGAUAACUUCGGGAAACCGGAGCUAAUACCGGAUAACAUGUUGAACCGCAUGGUUCAACAGUGAAAGACGGUCUUGCUGUCACUUAUCGAUGGAUCCGCGCCGCAUUAGCUAGUUGGUAAGGUAACGGCUUACCAAGGCAACGAUGCGUAGCCGACCUGAGAGGGGGAUCGGCCACACUGGAACUGAGACACGGUCCAGACUCCUACGGGAGGCAGCAGUAGGGAAUCUUCCGCAAUGGGCGAAAGCCUGACGGAGCAACGCCGCGUGAGUGAAGAAGGUCUUCGGAUCGUAAAACUCUGUUAUUAGGGAAGAACAAAUGUGUAAGUAACUAUGCACGUCUUGACGGUACCUAAUCAGAAAGCCACGGCUAACUACGUG
rnacentral:rRNA from 1 species